AAGGGUGGGGAUGACGUACAAGUCCUCAUGGCCCUUUAUGACCAGGGCUACACACGUACUACAAUGGCCGAUACAAAGGGCAGCGACACUGCGAGGUGAAAGCCAAAUCCCGUAAAAUCGGUCUCAGUCCGGAUUGGAGUCUGACAACUCGACUCCAUGAAGUUGGAAUCGCUAGUAAUCGUGGAUCAGCAUGCCACGGUGAAUACGUUCCCGGGCCUU
rnacentral:rRNA from 1 species